CCUACGGGAGGCAGCAGUGAGGAAUAUUGGUCAAUGGGCUUACGCCUGAACCAGCCAAGUCGCGUGAGGGAAGACUGCCCUAUGGGUUGUAAACCUCUUUUGUCAGGGAGCAAUUGGCGCUACGUGUAGCGUUAUCGAGAGUACCUGAAGAAAAAGCAUCGGCUAACUCCGUGCCAGCAGCCGCGGUAAUACGGAGGAUGCGAGCGUUAUCCGGAUUUAUUGGGUUUAAGGGGUGCGUAGGCGGAAUGCCAAGUCAGCGGUAAAAUCGCGGGGCUCAACCUCGCUCCGCCGUUGAAACUGGCGUGCUUGAGUGGGCGAGAAGUAUGCGGAAUGCGUGGUGUAGCGGUGAAAUGCAUAGAUAUCACGCAGAACUCCGAUUGCGAAGGCAGCAUACCGGCGCCCAACUGACGCUGAAGCACGAAAGCGUGGGUAUCGAACAGGAUUAGAUACCCCUGUAGUC
rnacentral:rRNA from 1 species